UAGGACGUAGUAUAAACAUUAUAUCUCACUUACGCUGAGAAGAAGGUGAAAUUUUGCCCGUUCUAA
rnacentral:tRNA from 1 species